rnacentral:rRNA from 1 species
AUUGCCCUAGUAACGGCGAGUGAAGCGGCAACAGCUCAAAUUUGAAAUCUGGCUCUCUUUGGGGGUCCGAGUUGUAAUUUGCAGAGGGUGCUUUGGCGUAGGCGGCGGUCUAAGUUCCUUGGAACAGGGCAUCGCAGAGGGUGAGAAUCCCGUAUGUGGUCGCCUGCCUUCGCCGUGUAAAGCCCCUUCGACGAGUCGAGUUGUUUGGGAAUGCAGCUCUAAAUGGGAGGUAAAUUUCUUCUAAAGCUAAAUAUAAGCCAGAGACCGAUAGCGCACAAGUAGAGUGAUCGAAAGAUGAAAAGCACUUUGGAAAGAGAGUCAAACAGCACGUGAAAUUGUUGAAAGGGAAGCGCUUGCAGCCAGACUUGCCCGCAGUUGCUCACCUAGGCUUUUGCCUGGGGCAUUCUUCUGCGGGCAGGCCAGCAUCAGUUUCGGCGGUCGGAUAAAGGUCUCUCUCACGUACCUGCCUACGGGUAGCCUUAUAGGGGAGACGACAUGCGACCAGCUGGGACUGAGGUCCGCGCUUCGGCUAGGAUGCUGGCGUAAUGGCUGUAAGCGGCCCGUCUUGAAACACGGACCAAGGAGUCUAACAUCUAUGCGAGUGUUUGGGUGUCAAGCCCGAGCGCGCAAUGAAAGUGAACGGAGGUGGGAACCUUAGGGUGCACCAUCGACCGAUCCUGAAGUCUUCGGAUGGAUUUGAGUAAGAGCAUAGCUGUUGGGACCCGAAAGAUGGUGAACUAUGCUUGAAUAGGGUGAAGCCAGAGGAAACUCUGGUGGAGGCUCGCAGCGGUUCUGACGUGCAAAUCGAUCGUCAAAUUUGGGCAUAGGG